AGGGAGGCCUCAUGAACUCUCCUUGAGAUAAAGCAGUUCCAUGGAAGGAAAUGAAUUGUCAUCUAGGCUGAUACCCUUUUCAGACUUCUGCAUCCUGUAA